UACAGAGGUCCCGAGCGUUGUUCGGAUUCAUUGGGCGUAAAGGGUGCGUAGGCGGCGGGGUAAGUCUGAUGUGAAAUCCUGGGGCUCAACCCCAGAACUGCAUUGGAUACUGCCUUGCUAGAGUACUGGAGAGGAAACUGGAAUUUACGGUGUAGCAGUGAAAUGCGUAGAGAUCGUAAGGAAGACCAGUGGCGAAGGCGAGUUUCUGGACAGUAACUGACGCUGAGGCACGAAGGCCAGGGGAGCAAACGGG
rnacentral:rRNA from 1 species